rfam:Roseovarius marisflavi strain DSM 29327 genome assembly, contig: Ga0131176_102
CAGAUCGGAUAGGGAGAACUGGCCUCGCCAGUGCCGAAGGAGCAACCGCCCCGGAAACUCUCAGGCGACAGGACCUGUCCGACGAC